AAACUCUCUUUGGAUUGGCCAUCAAAGACACCACACUUGAGACUAGAAACUCCAUAACUAAUGUAAAAUGACCGAUGAUAAUGAAAAGACAGUAGCUAAAAGAGGGUAAAAGGUGGAUCUGGAGUUUUCCUACGCAUCCAAAGCAUCUCUCAUGUCUUCAGGUCAUCAGACAUGGCUGAAGGUAUACAAUGCAUUGCAAGGAUAUCAGACGUUGCCGCUUUUGCAUUUGUAGUCUGCAGUACAACAAUCUGAUUAUAAUCAAGAUCAAACUUCAUGUACUCUUCUUUACAGGCCUCCACCAUCUUAGCCAAGCUCUUCAGAUUUUUUACCGGCUUGCCGUUGAAAGCAAUAACCUGAGUGUUUACCAGUUCUUCAUAACCAAUAUUGAUGUCAGCCACAAGCACCUGAGAAACCACAACCAGUUGUUCAUCCAUUGACUGUGCCAUUGCGUGUAAAAGUUUGUCCAACAACUUAACCGGAGCAUCAAAUUCAUAGUCUUUUCCAUACUCGGAACGUAAAUAUGGAACAGAAACAGCAGAGAAGACAAAACCACCAACAAUGUAGUAAGAAGGAGGUUUUCCCUUGAUAUGAGCUGGAAUCAAUCGUUUAUGUGCAUUAAGCUUUAUUUUGAAUUCUAGAGUUUUAGAUUUACGGAGAACUUUCACUUGAGCAUCAUCUCCAGUAUAUUUUUGAGAAACGAGAUAGCUGAAACCAAUACGCUCUCCAUGCCUGAACGGUACUGUUCCGUCAUUCGCUAUAUCAACCCCAUCAAAGCUAAGGAUAACAUCUGAAGGCUUUAGAACAUUGGAUUCUGGGGCCGUAGGCUCAACUCUUCGGAUACGAACACCCUUCUGAUUAUGUGCCAUACCCAUCGACAAGCGGAGGUCAGGAUUUUCCAUUUUUUGCCAUUCAAUCCCAAUGAUAGGAAAUCCUGUGUAUGCUCCAUUCUUCUCAUAAUCUUGAAUGAAAUGCAUAAUUACUGGUGUUGGUAUGACAUAACCAAUGUUCUCGGCAUCUUCAUGUUUAAGGGAUUGAAAUGCAAUACCUACACACUUCCCCUUAUCAUUGAAUGCAGGUCCACCAGAAUUUCCAGAAUUGAUGGCAGCAUCUAUCUGCAAUCCGAGGAGCUCGGUUGACACAUGAACAUAAGAUAGUAUCUCGAUACGCGAGACAACACCACUAGUCACAGAG
rnacentral:misc_RNA from 1 species